UUUCUGUCCUUUUGCUUGUUAAUGACGUCAUCACACAAAUACUAUACAAGACGUCACAAACGCGACAAUCAUUCUCUUGCUCACUUCUGACAGCGUCACGUCGUGCUGCCCCACCGGCAGCGCAGCACGCUUUUACACAACAUGCCGAGUUUCAAAGGGGAGUCUUCACUAUUUCUUAGCCUUUUAAAACUAACUGCUUUCGCUCUCUUUCAGCGUCAACUUGCACUUUGGACGUGCUUGCUCCCAUUGCAAGCUAAAAAGCUUGCUCCAGCGUUGGCAGUCAACUUCUCCGACUUGAAAUUGCAUCAAACGCAGUUUUGCCCAAGGUAAGACAAAAGGUUUGCAUAAAUUCACAAUAGAAUCAAUCAAUUCAAAUUGUCUAAUAUCUCUCUCCAUGUGCGACUCUUCAAAAUGAGCCUCAAGUAACCUACUUUGUUCGAAUAACGUGGAUUCUCACGUAAACCUUCGUAUGACUGAAAAUGUAACACUAUGGGUGACGUUCCCUUGUCUUUAAGGCCAAUGAACUGCGGUUGGAGAGAAAUUCAGAGCUGCUCCUGCCUGCAUUCUUCAUGGGUGGUGCCAAAGGACCACCUCGAUCCUGCCUGCUGCAUGAAUUGAAGUAAAAGCUCCAGGUUUGAACCUAUUGCAAUGACAAAUUUUGACAAAUCCAAGUGCUUGACCAGUUUGUCCUUUCAGGUGGUGCUGGUCCAGGCAGUCAGGAAACAAGGAGACAUCCUGUCCAACAUGCUGACAGGUGACUCAACUUGGCAAAUGUGGCAUGUUAAGAACACUACCCGGCUUUUUCUUUGUCUUAAUGCAGUGCAGCUUCCAGUAAGACCCUCCACCUGCUGGGCCAAGUAAUUCUCCAAAACCAUGCCGAAGGUGUCAAGUCCAGGAGAGGAUCUGCAACAUUUCAGGAGCUUGGCCUACUGUUUCUCAUCCAAGUGCACAAACGACCAAUGUCUUAAGCGGAAGGUUCCAGUCUACAGUUAAAAAUAAAAAUAGUAAACUUAAA